GGAGAAAUGAGGCAUGAAUGACUUCCAGCCUUACCUGUGCCAUGCUGUUAGUCUGUGUCAGAUCCAGACAAAUACCUUCUGUCCUGUCUCCUUUUGCAUCUGUUGUAAGUGGCUGGGAACAUCAGCUUCUUCCCCCCUUCCUCCUCUUCUGCAGAGAACUUGCUCCCUUAUUCACAAUCUGCUGCUUCACUGUAUGUACAUGGAGUCCAUGUGGCCCACAUCUUCUGGGGAGCAGGUUUGGAAGCUGGGACAUUUCUCCAACUCCCAAGUGUCAGCCUCUGGGUGGGACAGGGCCAAAGAGUCAUUUCUACAGCACAGGAGAAAAGGAUUCAAGAAAUGGAGCUCCUGGGUGCUCUUACAACAACCUCCCAUUCUGCUCUGCCUCCCUCCUCCUGACCCUAUGUGCAUCUGGAUUAUAAUCUGUCAUCCUCCCACAGUAAUUUGGGUUUUAUAUUUGCUGCCCUUUCUAUCUUUGCUGAGUUUGUGGGACGGGUGCGGUAAAAUACUGCUUAGGAAAAGGUCCACCACAGUUUCACCGUCAGUUUGGCUGGGAAUCCUGUUUAAAUGUAGUUCUUAAACACAGCUGUGAAACUCAUGAAGAUGUCACAUUGGAUGCUCUCACAGCAACCUUUAUGUCCUCCCGGGAAGGCAGUAAAAACAGCAAUAGCGAGCAGUAACAGGCUGCUCUGCCUCAUUCUUCUGGCUGCUCCUUGUCAUGCUCCUGCAACUCAAAACAUGAAGUUCUUCUAGCCAACCUGGUUCCAGACUGUAUCUCCUUGUCAGUUAUUCUUAUGUGUAGAGGAAAAGAAAAAUACUGAUAUAAUUUGCUGCUCCCUGGAACACCAGGCUUUUUAUCUAAAUGACAAGGCUUACAGUUACCUUCAGCCAUAGCUUUUUGAAGCAUUUUUGCUGGACAGUAGUGAUAAACCCUCCGGGAAAAAACAGUGGGACUGAAAGGAAUAAGAGGUUGUUCCUGAAGACUUCUACAUCCCUCCGUGUGGUCAGGAUGCUGUCUGCCUGGCUUUGAAAACAACGCAAGGACACAGUAUGAACUGAUGCCUCUGAAGCAGAGGGGAUACCAAGUACUGCUCUUCUGCUGUAUCUCUUGAAAUUCCCUGAUCAAACCAUGCCUGUCUCUGUGACACAAAGGUUCCCAGACUGGAGUGGCCCCUACUCUGGGUAUUUCCCCUUUCACCUGUGACUUCAACUCAGAGAGAUGUCUCACUAACAAAUUUGUCAUCACAAAUACUUUCUGUCACUGGAGAUCCAAUGCAGAGUUUGCUCAUGUUACAUGGCCAGCCCUUGCUUGAGCUAACCAGGAUGCAGUGAGAUGAGCAGCUGGAAAUUUCACAGACUCUUCAGUGAGGUUUGCAGCUAUCAAACAGCAACGUGGGAUCACAGCAGAAGCCCUCUUGCUGUUUCAGAACUGCUGUGUAAUACAGUAACCCAGUGCAGUACACAACUGUAGUGAUAUAAGGCUUAUCUGUAUCAAGUCUAUUAAAUUGAAAGUG
rnacentral:lncRNA from 7 species